rnacentral:rRNA from 1 species
AUUGACGCUAGCGGCAGGCAUAAUACAUGCAAGUUGAACGGCAGCACAGGUAGCAAUACUGGGUGGCGAGUGGCGCACGGGUGCGUAACACGUAUGCAACCUACCCUAUACAGGCGAAUAACCUUUAGAAAUGAGGGCUAAUACGCCGUAGUAUUACAGAUGGGCAUCUAUUUGUAAUUAAAGAUUUAUCGGUAUAGGAUGGGCAUGCGUCCCAUUAGUUAGUUGGUAAGGUAACGGCUUACCAAGACGAUGAUGGGUAGGGGAUCUGAGAGGACUUACCCCCACACUGGUACUGAGACACGGACCAGACUCCUACGGGAGGCAGCAGUAAGGAAUAUUGGGCAAUGGCCGCGAGGCUGACCCAGCCAUGCCGCGUGCAGGAAGACGGCCUUAUGGGUUGUAAACUGCUUUUAUACGGGAAUAAUAGAGUGUACGCGUACAUUUAUGCAAGUAUCGUAUGAAUAAGCAUCGGCUAACUCCGUG